rnacentral:ncRNA from 1 species
AUACAGCAAUCGAUUGAUGGUGCCUCGGAGACGAGGUGAAAAGGGAAUGCGGUGCGGGCUUUCGGGCCCCAUGCCGCAGCUGCCCCCGCAACUGUAAGCGGUGAGCGCCGGACCGAUUGGCCACUGGGUUAUUCCCGGGAAGGCGGUCCGCGCAUCGACCCGCGAGCCAGGAGACCUGCCAUCGUCCACACGAUUGCU